UAGCUUCAUAUAUCAUGUUAGUAGCUCGAUUCGUAGAUUUGCAUUAUUUUUAAAUGAAAUCUGAAUUGGAGCUUUAUAUGCUAGUUUUAUUAUACAUGUUGGACUUGGAAUUAACUUAGGAGAAACUAUAAAUUCUACACUAUCAUUUUCUGAAAACUAUCAGAUUUAGUUUUAGGAGUUGUAGUUUGGGUUGUAUCGCCACAGUUUGUAGGCGGUGGAUAUUCAGAAUAGUGUAGAAUGAAAUUACGCUUGUGCUCGGAUGCCGAGUUUAUUUUUACAGUAAUGUAUAGACUGUUUCGGACUGUCGGGUGCCGUUGUCGUUGACGAUGGACUCAGGUUGCUGUUUUUGCAUCAUAUUGUGCCGAAGGCAUG
rnacentral:lncRNA from 1 species